rnacentral:tRNA from 1 species
CAGCCUGUAGUCUAGAGGAUAAGGUACAUGACUGGGACCCAUGAGGUUGGUGGUUCAAGUCCCAGUCCAGCCACA